GCCGAAGUGGCGGAACUGGCAGACGCGCUACGUUCAGGACGUAGUGACCACCUGGUCAUGUGGGUUCAAAUCCCACCUUCGGCACUA
rnacentral:tRNA from 2 species